UACGUAGGGUGCAAGCGUUGUCCGGAAUUAUUGGGCGUAAAGAGCUCGUAGGCGGUCUGUCGCGUCGGCUGUGAAAUCCCGAGGCUCAACCUCGGGUCUGCAGUCGAUACGGGCAUCACUGGAGUUCGGCAGGGGAGACUGGAAUUCCUGGUGUAGCGGUGAAAUGCGCAGAUAUCAGGAGGAACACCGGUGGCGAAGGCGGGUCUCUGGGCCCGAUACUGACGCUGAGGAGCGAAAGCGUGGGGAGCGAACAGG
rnacentral:rRNA from 1 species